GUCGUAACAAGGUUUCCGUAGGUGAACCUGCGGAAGGAUCAUUACCACACCGAUCCAACGAUCAACACCCCUGUGAAGUUGUGUGUCGUUUACUCUUCUUCUAAAGCCUUUUGUGGAUGGCAGUGUGUGGGUUAUCUGUGUGCCCUGCUCCGUGCGGGUGUGCGCAGUAGUGCCUGCAUGCUGUUGUCUCGGGGGGUUUUACUACCAAAACACAAACCACUUUUUGAACCAUGAUAAUCUCUGAAACCGAAAGUUUGUACUGCGUGUUUUACACACCAUACAAAUGUAUCAAUGUAAAAACAUGAAACAACUUUCAGCGAUGGAUAUCUUGGCUCUC
rnacentral:misc_RNA from 1 species